GUAAAUUUAUUUAUUUAUUUAUUUUAUUUUUUAUUUUUUGAUAGGAAACGACAAAGGAAUAUAUUGAUAAAAAGAAGAUACAAAAGAAGGAUGAGGAAUCCUCCCAGCAAAGAAAAACAAGACUACAAGAAAUCAAAUAUAAGAAAGUACAAAAAGAGAAAAGUAGACACUCUAGUUACACGCCGCUAACCAAUCAAGUUGUAGCAUAUUAAGAGGAAUCCCCUUAAAAACCUUAGAACAAAAAGCCCAAAAAGAGGUAAGAAAACAAAUAGAAUCCCAAAGAUACUCAGAAUUCCUUGCUUUGUCCUCGAAAAUCCUUGCAUUUCUUUCCCGCCACACCACCCACAUUAACGCGAUGCACGCGUUUUGCCAUAAAACAAUCCCUCUCUUGGAAAAUCUAAAACCAUUAAAAUUACUAGCUAACAUGUCAGAGAUGCUCCUUGGGGAAACCCAAUCCAUCUUUGCUGAUUGAAAUAAUCUGUGCCACAACCCUAUCGUCAAAGAGCAAUGAAGGAAGAGGUGAUCUACUGUUUCUCCAUGCUUCAUGCACAACUUACAUAUGUCAGGGCUAAGUGCUUUGUAGGGUCUUCUCAAUUGUAGCAAGUCAUUAGUAUUAACCUUCUUGUGAGCCACCAACCAGACAAAGGACUUGACUUUAAAAGGGACUUGAGCAUUCCAGACAAACUUGGUAGGGAAAAUUGGAGGCGACUUAGAAUAUUGGGAUAAGGCCAGAAUGUGGUAAAUUUAUUAAUUGCUUUAUUAAUUAAAAUUUUGAAAUAAAAACAAUACUAGCUUUAAAUUCAAUUUGAUAUAUAUGUUCAGUAUUAAUUUCUACCCAAUUAUGUUUAUGGCAUAUGCUAGCAAUUUAUUAUGGUUUGAUAUACAAGCAAUUUUAAAUGUAUAAACAAAUAUUUUUCUUUUAGAUACUUCCAUUUGAUUCCCAUGAGUCAAUUUCUAAAAAAUGACACCUUUUAAAUGAGGAAACAAAACAUAAAGAUGAAAGAGAUAUUCUUCAAGAAAAUUGCAAACAGGGGAAAUGGGGGAGACUAGGAAAGGCAAUUCGUAGAAACAAACACCUAAAUCCCAAGAAAGACCUAACAAAACAUAGAAGGAAGGAAAUCCCUUAAAAACUCUUCAUACAAGGUACCUAUCUAUUAGCCAAACUAUUUGCUUCCUAGUUUAAGUCCUACGAGGACACAAGAAGUGUCUUAGCUAGAUUUCUAUGCAAGGAAGCAAGCCAAUCUUCCAAAAGAAACAACAAAUAGUAUAUCCAUAAUUUCAUCUUCGAGGUCAUCUACUAUCUUGGGACAUACAACAAAAAAUGUCACUAAGUCCCUCUCCACCAAAAAAAUACCAUCUUAUAAACCAUUACAACUCAAGGAAAAUCCUAACUACACUACUUUUAUGGUCUAGGAACAAGCUCCUAGAAUCCAUCUUCCAUGGUUUACCUAAGAACAAUUGUCAAAUUUAAGCUUUAGGAAAACCUAUAGGUUGUGGUAGGCUACUAAUUUUGCUUAAAAGUUUAAGCUCUUAGGUAAUGGACUAAUAAUGUCUACCAUGGUAACACCAAUCUCACUUGCAACCCUAUCCAAACGUGAAGAGGCAAAUCACUUACAAUGGAUUACAAAUAAAUGGAUAGGGGGAAUAAAUAAAUGGAAAGACUUGAAUUCAAGACCUCUAAUUAACCAAAGCUUUGAUAUCAUGUUCAGCUAUAACUUAUGCAUUGAAGUGAUAGACUAAUGAUGUAUAUUCAUUAAAUCUUGAUAAUAACUCUCCUUCUAGAAGAAAAGCCAAUCAUUUUUCAAUCUAAUAAGAUAAUACCAAUAGGAACACCAAAGAAUAUCUUGGAAACAACCACCUAAAAAUAAGUAAGAUAACAAAUAUUAAUCCACAAGUCAUCAUCAACCAUAAUCUCAUCCUCAAAGAUCUGAAAAUUCCUUUCGAGUAGAAUCACCUAAAAAGUAACUAAAAAAGCCCAUUAUUACGUGGCCCUCUGCUAUAAAACCCUACUAUUACAAAACACCAAACAUCAUCAACAUAUUCAUAUCUCUUGGCAUAGGGAAAGUCCAUAAAACACCAAACAAAACAAAAGAACAUUUACAAGAAGUCCAAUGCAAUAGAAAUGAGGACAAAAAAAUAUGGUCAUUUGUCCUCUAUUCUUAAACACAAAAUUAGUGUUCAAGAGUUGAGAUUAUCAUUCUCAUAAUCUUCAUGUUAGCCACUAGCCAAACAAGAGCUCUAACUUUUAGAGGCAAUAAAACUUCAAAAUAAAGUCAAGGUAAAAAGAUAAGACUAUGGCUCAUAGAUAUAGCAAUAAAAAAAUUCUAGAGAAUGAUAGCCUAGUGAGGACUAAGGUACAAGCCCUUCUAUGUGAAAGAUGGGAAGAAGUUGUCCAUUUCAUAAUUAAUAAGUUGUCACCAAAAAUUUAAGUCUUAGAAAAGCAAAUUUGGAAAGAAAUAAUAAGCAUGCCAAAUAAAGUAAUAAUAGCCCUGAGAGAUGGUUUUCCAAGGAUAAUAAUUUCCUUCUUAGCCAUAAAGUUGAUAUCUUAGCCAUCAAUGUGUAGCUUAUAAAUACUUCUGAUAGCAUUAUACUAUAAUGAGUCAAAAAGAUGUCACAACUAUCCAUUAAUAGAGAGUUUCAUAAUUCAAGCCUACGCACUCAACUCCAUCUAAUGGAAUUGCAUUUUUUUUCCUGGUUACUUGGCACAAGAAGGUUCUUCAACUUCUCUCCAUUCUAGAGGCUUACCCUUAUAGGGACCCCAAAAGUACAUGAAUAAUACAUAGGGAUAUGAAAGGGAAGACUAAAUUAAAGUGAUCCACCCAUUUAUGCAUAUGGAAGCCUUCUUCCACAUAUCUACCCAAGGAUAAUUGUUUGAAUGGUUUACCUUGCAUUUAUAUUUAUUAUCCAAACACAAUCUAAGAGAGAGAGUGUGUGUGUGUGAGAGAGAGAGAGAGAGAGAAGUGGUUGAGAUUUUCAAUAGGCCAAUAAGACUUUUCGAUUAGGUUUUUGUAAAGCAAUUAGAAGUGAUGGUUUGAUUUUAUGCUCCUACUAACACCUCUCCAAGUAAAUGAGGUGAGAACUAAGUUUUGUUCUAAUGUUUAGUAUAGGGAAUUAUCUUUAAGAGAUCAUUUUUCCUCGAUUUGUUUAAAAUUGCUUUAUAUAGAGAAACGAUGUUAGUGAGUUAUUAACAGGUGGUGGAGUAUUGGGCCAUCAAGAUCCUAGGUUUCUUAGGAGAUUUCAUGAUACAAAGGAAUUUUAGGUUUGUGGGGUCAUUCAUCUCUUGUAUUCAAUGUUUUCGGGUUAGUAAGGGCAUAUGAAGGAUAGGUUGGUUUAACAUUUAUCUAAAGGUGGGAGUUUCUUAAGUUAAAACCUUCUACAAGUUGCUUUCACUAAGAUUCUUUCUUUUCCAGCAACGGAAGUCUGGCGCUUGGAAGCUCCAUGAAGGUUGAUUUCGCUAUCAAGGAAAUUGUCUAGGAGAAGUUCUUCAAAUUAGACUACUCAUCAGAAAGGGAAGGGUUGUGGUGAUUUGAUGUUGCAUGUGAAAAUAAUUCUCAAUGAAUUAUCUUUAUAUUCACUGCUGGGUUGCAUAUGUUUUAUAGGCUUUGUUGCUUUCCUAUUUCAAUAAAGGAUUUUUUUUUUAUUUAGCAUGAGAAUUUCAUCAACAGGAGUUUUCUUUGAGUAUGGAAAACAACCUCUUUAAGUGUCUUCUAGGGUUUAUGAAAGGAGAGGAAGCUUAUAUAUUCUAGUUAAAGCUUUCAGAUAUGAAGCACAAACAUAUGUUCUACAAAUCUUUGUCUGUAUGGUUGAGAAUCUUUGGAGAGUGGAACUAUUUAUUUCCUUGACCUAUUGAUAGUUUGGAAAACUCCAUCUUUUCAACAGUGUAUAGUGUUUGAUUUCCUUUUUCUUGCUUUGUUUCUUAUUCUUUAGAAUUUAGGUGUUACUUAUAUACUAUUUUUUUUACCAUACUAGCAUCUCCUCAGUAAGGUGCCUUUUAAUUUAAUUUUGAUCCUUGUUUAUAUAUGAACUUUCUUUUCCCUUUUGAAGUACAAGGCUCCAAUUCAUGACAAUAUGUUUCCAAGUUACUACCUCGAAGGGAUAAUAACUAUAGAAUCACAUAUAUUAUAUCUAUAUUUAGUGUGACAACACUACUUAAUAACAUCACCACAAACUAUUCCAAAAUGCAUAUUUCAAUGUCAAGCUAUUUGUCUCAAGUUUUUAUUCACAUGCAUUGCAAACAUAGCUAGUUGAAAUUUGUUUUGGUUCUUUUUCUUUACAAGGUUGGGAAAAAUUAAUUAGCUGAAUUUAAACAUUGUAUAGCCUCAAUACAAGGUAAUUUAAGCUCAUCUCACUCUGUUGAGGCUUACAGCCUUAAGGCAUAGCAUUGAGUUUGUUGAGGCUUAAACUCCAAAUAUUUAAUGGUGUUAAUGAGUUUUAAGUCCUUUUAGGCCUUCUUAGGUUUUUGAUAUAUGUUUUACAAGAUGUUUAAGCUUUUCUAUUUGAUGGGUUCAAUGGGUUUUAACCUUUUGUACGUUUUAGUUUAGACUCAUAAUUGGUCUUAGGUUAAACUUUUUACAAAAAAAGAAAGGCUUAGUUGGCUUCCAAUUAACCUUUCUUUGGUAAGGAACAGUUGGAACAACUGUACAGUUUUUUGAACGACUCUAUUCAAUCCCAAAAACCUCAAAAUCCUUCUUUGUUUUCAAUAGCAGGAAAAGGUUCAAUCGUUGUUUCGAAACAUUUAACACUAAAUUAUGUUCCUAACCUUUCCUGCAAUCUAUUGUCUAUCAGAAAAUUAACAAAAGAAUUGAAUGCUGUUUCCUGCCUUUUGUUUGUGAAUUUCAGGACCUAUGUUUGGGAAGACGAAUGGCAGUGCUUCCACAGCAAUAAGUUACUUGGAGCUUGGGUUCUUCUAAUCACCACUUAUGUCUGGCAACUGAAUGAUGGCCCACUAUUGGGUUGGCCUUAUGUUGCACAAACAGACUUGACCAACAGAAUAAAAUGUAUUAGUAGUACCUCUGGACUCUAAAAUGCAUUAGAAUGUCUGUAGCAAUAUCACUGAAUUCUGGUACUCUACCUGAGCCAGAUAUUUAAGUUAUAGGAAAAAGAAAAACAAAAAGAGUUCCUUCAAAAAUUUAAGCAAGCAUUCAUACCAAGAAAUAUGAAACCCAAUGAGAAAAUUUCUACUGCUAAUUAUUUGGGCCAAUAUUUGUUCUUUUGGUUACCAUCCAGAUGUUCGCCUUUCCUCUUACAUCCGUUCAGGACUCUCACUCCCCGAAACUUCUUGGGCAGUCAGCUACAUCGUUGAAGUGUCCCAUCAGCCCAAUGGCAUCAUAGCUUCCUCCGCCAGGGCUCAUAAAAUUCCUUAUAUCCUGCAAGAAAUUUCAAUCAUCAACUGAAAUGGAAUAAAAAGAAAGAAUAAAAAAAAAAACAAAUAACAUAUGUAGGAUUAAUUAAUUUUACCAAAAAUUUAAUACCUCAGUCGUUAUGUUUGUGCCGGUUCUUAGGCCAGGAAGGAAAGAGCUAAUAAACCAUGGGGAAUUCAGUACUGAAGGAGAUUCACUUCCUCUUUUGUAAGGAGUUUCACAGAACCUGGAUGAAAUUGGCCAUGCAAAUCAUAAGAGAUAAUCAAGGGCAACUGAUAUUGUCUUAGUAAUAGAAGAGAAGAGAGACAAUUAAUCAACAGACAUUCUAAGUUUGAACAUACGAUUUAUGAGAAAUCAACUUCUAAAUAUGGAUAGAACUAAAAUUAAAUUGUCCAAUUUCACAGAAUGGUGCCCUCAUAUACAACAAAAGAAAUGUUCUUUAUGUAAUAGAGCAUCUCCUACAGUUUAACUUAAUAAAACUCGCUCACAUGAUAGGAAUGCUAUAUACUCAACAAGUAUAAUGAAAAAAUAGCAGAAGGAAAAGAUUUUCCAAACUUACAUGCUGUCAAUACCAGCAUCACUCCCAGAGCUUCCAGACAUGAUCUUGAGUGGAGUUAAUGAAGGAGCAGAUUUGACAGGUGUAACUGAACCUGAACAACUACCAUUCUUCUUUCCAUGAGCAGUUGGAGAGACAAUAACAGAAAAGGAGGAAUUUCCAGAUAAGAAUUCAGAAUGAACAAUCUCCUCCAACUGUCUAGAAUUUGGACUUUCUGGAGUUCUAGCACUAGGACAUAGAACUCUGUUCAUUUUAUGUACAACUCUAUCAGGAGAGAAUGAUGAAAGGUCAUUCUUGUCUUCAACAAGGAUUCCAGAAGAUUGUUUCACCUGAGAAAAUAACCCAUGUCUCAUCAGGCGUAAAAUAGAUGCCCCACUCCAAUUUAUAAUGUGAAAGCCAAAUCAUACAUUAAUAUGAUAUUAAAAGUCAUCUGAUCAUUAUAUCCUUGUUCUUCUUUUUGUAAAAUCGAUCCUUAUGUCCUUAUUCCUUUUAAGCAAACAUUUGAUUUAGAGAAUCAUACAGACAGGAUGGGCAGCAAUACCGAUCCACUUGCUAUUUGGUAUUGUUGCCAUGGAUACAUAGGUAAGUACUUACCACACACACACACACACACACGCACACAUAUGCAUAAUACAUAAGGAUUCAAAGGAGUAUCUGCACUGUGAAACCAGGUAAGACUACUACUUUCUUUUUGAAAAAUCAAAGAGGCAUUUGAAGCAUAUUUUUUAGCAGGGUUUAGAUCAAUAGGUAGAGGGAUCAAAGCAGGACAGAAAGGCUUACAGGGCCCUGGGAAAGAAAGGUUCCACUACGAGAGCUGGACUCCAAACAGUCAACAAAUUCAUUCAGCCACGUCCUUUUCAAGGACUCAUUCAGUUCUACACGCACACACACACAUAUGCGUGUGUGUGUGUGUGUGUGUAUUUAAAUAUUUAAUAUAUCAAAAAUUCCAAGAUACUGACUAGAGCAGAAAAAAUGUUAACAAGGUAGUUAGAAAACAAUUCAGAAUAAAUUGCAUACAAACCCAAUAUGAAGGCUGAUUUAAUGGAAACAGUUUGACCCCCAUAUGAAGAGAAAUUCUUCAUAAUGUGAUUAGGGAAUUCUACCUAUCAUAAACAUUAUCAUUUGAUAAAAGAAUUCAGGCAAGUAAAUAACUAUAGAGUCAGCAUCAAUUUGAUGUAUACAAAACUAAUGCCAAAAAAAUUGAACUCACAACUUUGACAGCAGCAUCAGCAUCAACUUUAGCCUCAGCAGCAAGAACAUUGGAACUUUUCUCUAUCUUGUCUGAGGGACAACUUCGAUCAAAGUUCAUCCCUGGAAUUGCAUGGUUGGAAAGUGCAGCAUCAUUUCUCCAUUCUUUUUUUCUUUCAGGUGCACAACUCAAAUUUUCUUUGUCUUCCAUGCAAGGUCUGGAGUUCUUUUUCUGGAUAUUUUUUGGAGAAACGAAAGAUGCUUUGUCACCAUUCUCACCAAGCAUCAAAUCUAAACAAGAAAAAUCUCUUGUCAAGCUAUUUGUGCAAUAUAACCCAUGAUUCAUGGCAUUCCCAAGUUUUUUUUCACAUCUUUUUUGUGAUGAAGGUGUCAACAACUCAUGGUGUCGCUUCUUCAAAAUGUGUGGCGAGGAUGCAAAGGUUUUGGCGGCAUUCUUCAGAUCAGUUUCAUGACUGACAUCCUGAGAUGGUGAAUCCCAUAACCCAAGUGGAGAAAAGCAGUCCAUAGGAGACAUCAUCAGUUUCCGGACACCAAGAGGACUAUAUUCUUGCUGGUGACUGCUAUCAGAUUCUAUAAGGCCGCAGCUGAAGAAAGGAACAUCCAAGCUUGGAAAACAACAAGUCUCAUUAAAUAUGUCUCCUGAAUCUAUUUGUUCAGUAUGCAUGAUUGGUUUUUCAUCUGUGGCAAGAAAAUUUUUCAUGAUAUCUGAUGGCCCUGAGACAAAAGCAACCAAAUGAACUGAUCUUGAAGAUUCCUUGUUGUCUGGUUGGAUAUGCAGACCAAAGCUAUCUGUACCAUUAUCACAAGGGGAACUAGCAGAGUCAUUGGUAUGGAUAAAACCAGCCUGUGAACAUGUAACAGGCUCCUGUUCUGUAGUUCCAAGUGAAGCAUCAUUUAAAUGAUUGGGUUCACUACCAAAUAUUGGUGUACUAUCAUCAUCAGGAAGUGCAACAGGCAGAGAAGUUUGACAGCUUGAAGUUCCCAACAGUUCAGAUCUCAGAGGAUGAAUUGAUUGUGAAGCUAAGGUUUCUGAAAUUUCAGAGCUUUGAGAGUUAGAGGAUUGAUAAUGUAAUGAAUCUGUACACCCAUCCAAAUUACAGAUAGCUGAGCAGUCUAAAUGAUCUCUGAAGGAAAGACAUUCAUGAUUCUCUGCCUCAGGGAAAAUGACUGGGCAGCAAUCACAUUUAGAAAUCAGCAUGUUUACAGGCUGAUCAGAACAAGCCUCCACAUUUUGCAUUACACUAGAAGUUAACCCCACAGCGUUUAGUACUGGGCCAGGUAGCAUUUCAUGGUUUCCACUAGCACAUAUACAAUGUUUUGAUACCUUGAUCAAGUCCUGGCCCAGAUCAAGUGAAGAAAUAUUAGUUAAUUCUUGCAAAGCAAACUGCCAAUCCCUACUUUCAAAUGUUCCAGCAUCAUAUGAUAAAUUUUUCCCAAGGACCUUGGAGAAUCUGGGUUGGUCAGGCAUUUCUGGAAGGGAAAAACUGACACCUUCAGCAGAGUUGUGACAUCGGUUGGAAUCUGAUACUAGACUAAUAUGCUGCCCCUUCCCUUGGAUUGACUCCUCAUUCAUUUGGAAUUCUUCUCUUGUAGAUGGAACUGCAUUAGCUGUCCUAUUUGCAGAUUGAGAGUAGUCGAUAACAGUUGAAGUUUUAGCAUAGUCGGUAAUUUCCUCUGUUUCUUUUCCAUGUUCUACACCACUGUCAUUUCCAUUGCUAUCUUGCGCUCCCAAAGACAAUGAAUGCAGUGAGUGGUUUUGAUAAUUGACAUCAGGCAGGCUUUUGAACUGUGCAAGUAGACCUGAUGCCAUGUAUUUGUCCAUUUUCUUUUUCACUGAGCAAUUCCAAUGAUUUUUAAUUGCAUUAUCUGUCCUGAUGGGGACACAAGCACAAAUAUUUCAAAAACUCACAAGGGUAAACAACAAGUUUUAGUGUAAAAAUAAGUACACAUAGAAUUCUCGAUAAAAUUUGUAUAAGAAAGCACAAACACCUGCCAAAAAGAGAACUGAAGGAACACAUUCGCAAAACAGUUGAAAAUAAAUGUGUAUGGAAGGAGAAAAUAUUUGUGCAAACUCUGAUUUCAAGAGAAAUGAUGGGAUAUCAUGGCCUUUCCUUAAAAAAAUGUAUAGUACCUUCCAGGCAAAAACUUUGUUAAUUCUGCCCACUUGUUCCCAUGUAUCUGAUGAGCAUGCAUUAAAGCCAAGUCCUCUUCCUCAGUCCAUGCCUCCUUGUUGAUGGCCGGAUUCAGAUGGUUAUGCCACCUAAGCAAACAAGUGUAUUUAAAUAUGGGUGAAAAGCCAGCAGAUAUUUUUUCCCUAUACGAUGAAAGGAAGAAGAAAUAUAAAACAAUAAUAUACAAACAUAUAAAUAGUGCUGCACCUUCUAGACAAAAAAUGAUUGUUUGCAUAGUUGGAGAAUUAAUAACAGAAUAGAGACAAAAAAUCAAUUCUCUGACAAUUUGGAUUUAUAAACAAAAGGUACUGAUAUCUUUAAACUCUGAAGAGGAUUAUAAUUUUCUUUCCAAUGCCCAAUAUAUAUGUUGGGUUGCAACACCAGAUGGUAGUGUUGAGGGACAUGUGCACGUUUGUGUUAAAAUUAGGACUGGGCAACGUGCAAUGUUGUGGACGUGAUGAGGUAAUGUUGGUGACUGCAUGAUGGCAGUUGUGCGAUUUGGUAUAUCUUUAUUAUUUUAAUAAUUUUUCAACACAAUAUCAUUAGAAAUCAUUUAUAAAAAAAUUAUAUUUUACUGUGGGGUUACCAUUGGAAAAAAAAAAAGAAACAAAUUAUUGGCAGGAAUAGGUGGCCUUGUAUUUCUGAUAAAAAAAAGCAAGGAGAAUAUGUUUCGACAUAGAAAUUUGGAUUAAGUCUGCAUGAGCUUUCUCCAGAUUUCACAUUUCCCCUUAGAGAAAUGAAGAAGUGCAACUUAAACAAAGCCUUGUAAUGGUUAAAGCAGUCUCUUUGAAGAUUAUGGUUCAAAAGGUUUAAUAAACUGAUCUAAAAUGUGGCCACAAGUGGAACCAUAUGACAAUAGCUUGUUCAUCAAGAACUCAGCAGCAAAGGCCUCUGCCAUUUUUUAUUUUUUUUUUUACCUUUUGAUGAUUUCCUAAUGAAUGAUUUUUUUUUUUUUUUCAAUAGGCAAAAAAGAGAAUAUAUUAAAAAUGAUUUCCUAAUGAAUGACACUAAUAUAAGAUGCAGAAGUAAAAGGUAAAUGUGGCUAGAGAAUUUGAGAAAAGGAUUGAGAGAUUAAGGUGUUAUUUGUUUUUUUAACUUUUUGUUGAAAGCAACUUGCUUUCAAAUUUUAGAUAAUUUGUUUUUUUACUAACUUAUUACUUAUUUCUUAAAUUUUUGACUGAAUAGAAAAAGUCAAAAUAUUUUAUUUUUUCUAAAUGCUAAAAAUAACCUGUUUGUUUUUCUUUACUUCUUAAUACUUAAUAGAAAGAAAAUAUUAAAAAAAACAAAGAACUUAAUACUUAACACUAUUAAGCACUAUUUAGUUUUUAAGUUCUAUUUAUUUAUCAAAAAAAUGUUUCAAGUUCCAUUUAGAAUUAAAUAAAAAAUCUAAACACCACCUAAAUUUGCUUAACUUAGGGUCAAGAUGGCUAAAUCUAUGAAAGGUAUCUCCAUUUUCAUCAACAGCCCAAAAAAAUAACAGAAACAAAAACAAAACAAAAAAGCAUUAUAUCAUUGACCUUUUAGAGAUGAGCAGAAUGUUAGGCCAUGGACCUGUGUAUACAACAAAUGUACAAACUCAAAGGUCAUAAAAGAAGACAAUGUUGUGUUAUUAAGUCCAGGGGGAUAAAUAAUCUAUCUCCCGCACACACAACCUGAUAUUUGAUACACUCUCCAGGUCCUAAACUAAUCAAUUUAUGCAUGACUAAAGAAAAUCUUGCUUAAAGGCAAAUUACAGGAUUCUUUGAUAUUUUAAACUUGUGCUAAGGAACAAUUUCUUAUUUGCAAGGAUAAAAUCUUAUUCACAUUCAGAUUGUGCAGGGGCUGUCACAUUUGGGAGAUUCACUUCUUUACACUGGACAUUUGUACAAGGCAAUCUUGUAACUUGAAAAGGAAAUAUUAAUAGUUCCCAAAUCAAGUGCUAAUGCAUAUUUAGAUUUAUGACUUGUGGUAUUGGUUUAUCUCUAAUGAACCUACAAGGCUUAACUUUGACAAGGCUGCUAUCAAUGUUACUCACGAUCCCAUUUAACAUGACAAGUCAAAGCAUAUUGUCAUGUAGAAGCAUUAUAUAGGAGAAGUUGAAUAUUAAUGAACAAUUUGACUAAAGGAUUAGCAUGUGUUAAUUUUCAAAUUAUUUUGAGCAAGCUAGGCAUUUAUGUAUCAUUGCACUAGCUUAUGAUGGGGUGUUGAUUUGUCAUUUUAUAUAUCAGAUAAGUACUACUUUAACUUAGAACAUGUUUAGCCUCCAAAGUGUGAAAGGAACCCUUCUCUCUCAUGUUUCUUUACUUAGCAAAAGUAUAUAAGGUAAGAGGAACCUUCUCGCCACACAUGUUUUUCCUUCUCCACUCAUUCCUCCUCCUUCCUCUUUCUUCAAAGAAACUCUAAGCUAUAGAACCAUAAAGACAAAAUGGGAAACCAACCCAUCUAUUCCCAAGUUCAAAUUGGCUAUUAUACCAUCUUACUUCACCUGAUUGUAGCGAACCUGACUGCCGGCUCCAACUGUGAUCUCAAACUAAAAUUGUACAAGACUGUCAGUCCAUGAAUGAGAUGAGAAAAUUACGAAUAGGGACAUUUCAGAAUUCCAAGUCUUUGACAUUUCAAUUCCAAUAAAGUUCCUAUUCCUAUCUCUUCAACAUAAAAACUUGUGAAUUUAUAUUGGUUACCAUGAUGCAUUUGCAGUGCAUCCUUCCUUCCCCAGACACUACUUCAACAACUAUGGUAUGUUUUCCUCCAAUUUAUAGGAUAGUUAAUACUCUGUUGCUUCUUUCUCAAGGACUAGUCUGUGCUUGUUGGAAUUUGAAGUGCAUGAACUGAACAUCCUGGUUUUGAAGACCAAAUCAUUUCCACAGCUCAAAGAAGAAACUAUCUCAGGAUUACUUGCUACAGUUGUCAGACAAGUUCCUUAAUUAACACACUAUAUGAAUUAUAGAAUGAAGCUUCCCAUGUUAUUACUGGCAAGUAAACAUGUAACCAACUUAAAAAUUGUUAACUUCACAUUUAAUCCUUUCAGAAAGUAAUUUUGAAUUGAAGAAGCUAUAAAAUAAACAGAAGCCACCCAAAACCAAAGAUAAGUUCUCUAAUGAUACCUUUCCCGGCAUUGUUUUCCAAUGCGUCCAGGUAAAUGCUUGGCAAUGUUGGACCAUUUCUUUGGUCCAUAUAUUUUCACCAAUUUCAUCAUUUUUUCAUCCUCCUGUCCAUAUGUUACAUGAAGAAGUUAGGUAAAGUUAUAAAUCACAAGAAGAAUAUUCAAAUACUUCAAGUCAAAGGAAAUGUUGGCAAACAAUUACUGAUGUAAGGAAUUGACAUGGGAACCAGAAACACCCAUAAUGCUUCACCUCUUUUGUCCAAGAACCUUUGACAAUUUCUGGAUUCAAAACCUUCUGCCACCUAUGUUGGCACUGUAUCACAGUUCGAUCCUUUAAACAUUCCACUGCAAGCAACACAACUUUACAGGUAAAAUGAUGUGUGUUAUGUAUAAUGCACGACAAGUCAGAGCACCUAUAUUGAGUAUGAGAUGGCAGAGAAUUGGAUUAAGUUGUUUGGUGUUGUGCAAGGAAGAUGAAUGACUGCAUCAAUAAGUGAUAAAAUUCAACUUGAAGGAGCCAGAUAAGAAGAAAAGAACAGUUUGGCACUUGGCUCCAAUUUGCUUAUUUUGGUGUAUUCGGAAAAAAUGCCACCUAAGGACUUUCGAUGAAGAGCUUUCAGAUCAAAGAUUAAAGGAUCUUUUCAUAUGGCCGCUUUUAGAGUGGUCUCAGGAUUCUCUGGAGUUGGAGAACCCCUCUAUUUUGAAUGUCUUAGAUGCUCUUUAUUAUGGUUAGCUAUGCUCAGUUUUUGUAGGCUAACUUAGUCUUUGUUUGUUGCUUUCUUUAGGCUGUUCUGGGCAUACUUCCUGCAUAUGUGGGGUGAACCCCCUUUUUUUGGCAGUUCUUAAUACAUGAUUCUGUUGUCUAUCAAAAAACAAAAAAUUCAACCUGGGCUAAUGCAAAGAGAUUAAGAAAUAACAGCCUACACUAAACAAAAAUAUCCUAGGACAAAACCAUAAGGGAGGGAAAGAUUCAUGUUGCCACCCCAAAUAGUCAGGGUGGGGGGUAUAGGGGGCAAGUCUACUUUAUUUAGGCUAAUCCACCCCUAAGAAGGUUCAACAACAAAGAUGUCCGAAUGGGGGAAAAAAACCCUUAAGCAUAUCUCAAUGAUCUACCAAAUAUACCUAGUAGAAUCAUGCCAAGGAAACAGAAAAGGACCCGCAUGAAUAAUAGAAAGUGAGUAGCAUACAAAUGGGCAAACAAAUAUUUGAAACAUUUUUUAAAUAACUUAUAUGCCAAGGGGAUUGGGAUAAUUUCUCAAACAUAAAAUUAUUUGAGGAGCAGCAUUACCUCAAAGCAAUAACGAAAACAUUUUAUUGAGAAUCUACUAGCCAAACUCUUGUGAACUGUCAAUCAAACAGAAUUCAUGUGGAAAUAAUACAGUGAUCUGGAAGCUCUACGCAACUGAUGAAUGAUUUAGAAAUAUCCUCCUUUUAGUUAGAAAUCACAAGCAAAAUGAUAUAGAUUCAAUGUUGGUUGGUUGACUGGAAAAUAGGUAUCAAAGCAUGUUGGAAUGAAUCAAAGUAUUGAUCAAAAUCAGGUGUACAAUUAGACACAUGGGUAGCAUUGAUUAGAAUAUAAAUGUUAAUGAAAUUAUUUACUUCUUAAUAUCUAUUUUGUAAUUAUACCAUUCUAGAACACUACAUGGACUGAAGUAUGACUAAUGAGUGAUAGUUAAGGUGCAAGAUUUGUUGAAUGCUACAGGCAAUAUCAGAACACAGACAUACCUAUUUUUUUCCAAUUCUUUCCUUUAUAACACUGAACAGCCUCACGCAGCAUGUCAUCCUGAAUUCAAAAAUGAAAAAGAAACCACAAAAAUACAAACCAAAGAAAUACGACAAGUAUACGUUUAGGUACUGAUCCAAGCAUGCAUUUAUAUGCUAAUCAAAGUAAACAUCACCAAACACAAUGGACCAACAAUUUUAAGAUACAAGAUCACUAACAAAUCCAGUAGCAAAAAUGUUUAAACACAGAGUCAUUUUGAAUCCAGUUACUGAAGCAAAGGAGCAAGUCCUGAAAGCAAGAAAACCUGCUUUGUCCAGAUGGGCUUAAAACUUGAAAAAUUAAAAAACGAAGCAGGAGAACGAAUGUAAUAAUUGAUUAUAUCAACCCACAAAAAAUUUAGGACAUACAUAGAGAAGGCAAACUCAGUAUCAAUUGACAGAGAUAUAUGCUGUGUUCAAAUAAAAUCAUACCUUAAAGGGCAUUCUAUAACUACAAGAAAUACUCAUAUAGAAAGUAAUUUGAGUGGAAUAUAGUUCUUAACAACCUCCCCACCCCACCAAAAAAGAAAAAGAAAAAGACGCUGGAAAAUCCAAACUGUGCCAUGGGCAACCUCAUGUAAUAUAUGAAGAUAGAAUAAAACCAAGAUUCUCUAUGCAACUGGAGUUGACAUGAAUCUCAUAAAGUAGAUAAUUUUAUGUGGCCAUGAUUGCCAUGCUCUUUCCUUAAACUAGAUCAAAUAGUAGACAAAAUAGGAAUAGAUCCUAGAGACAUGUCGAAAAUCAAAAGAAAAAUUAAUGCGAUAAACUUCUCCAACACACCAUAUCAUGAAGUUAACUCAUGACAGCACUCCAUAUAAAUAUAAUGGUACAUAUUUCUAGGACAAGAGAGUAACACCGCUAAAUUGGAAAGAUACCUAAUUUUGAUGAGUAAGCAUUUACCUCUUCAACCGUCCAUUUUCCUGUUGUGGAACGUCUCGUUGGACCCCUGGUCCUCCUGAGAAAGAGCAGCAUAACAUUAUAGUCAGAUUACAAAUAUUGAAUGAAUAAUUACUGAUAUUUGUGCAUGUAAGUGUGGAGUGAGACAGAGGAGGAGAGAGAAAGGGGGUGGGGGGCUGACAAAACGAAUAUAGUUGAACAUACAAUCCUAAUUUUUCAACAAUAAAAAAAUCUAGAAUCUCAUGUGUUUACAACUGAUAUUUAGAUAUUCUUCACUCAGGAAAUUUUACAUUUGGAAAAAUCAUUUUUUUUCUAAAUUAAGGGCCACAUACUCAAUUUGAGGUACAUGACCUGCACAAAUUAAGUAGAACACUUUCAACUUGAAGUGAAAUUUUUCAGUUUAGUUCUAGAUUAAUAGAAAAAAAAUCAUUAGAAGAAGCUGUCUCUUGGUGAAUAAUUGGAAAAUUCAUUCAAUGCCCUCAUAGACCCUAUAUAUAUUAAAUAAGGAUUUAAAAAGUACAAAAUAAGGAUGAGAAAUCCUCCUAAAAACAAAGAACUAAACAAAUGGAACCUCCAAAAUUCUAAGUAAAGCUAUACACCAUAUGGAAAGUACACAAAAUGGAACCUCGUAGACCCUAUAUUGCAGGAGAUCAAUACAGCAGUCCCAAUGUAAAAAUGAGAACUUUAGCAGAAGGUGCCAAGUGUGAUUAAGAAUAUGUGUUUUAACUUUGAAAGAACUAAAAGAACUGGUGAAGAAAUGCAGGUUGGUAGUGCAAGCACCAAACGCCUACACAACUAUAUCAAGAUUCAUAGCCACCAUACAGGUUUUUACAAACAAGUGCCAUGUACAAAAUCGUAUACCGAGAGAUGUGAAAAACUAGAAUAAUUAAUCCCAUGUUUCAAGAUCAAAACAAACUUGUCUAGCAAAAAGGGAAGUGUAAAGUUAGAAAGAAAAAAAAUCUUAGCAGUAAUAAAAAAAAACAUUCAAAGGAAUAGCAGCAUAGAAAGGAACAUGAAAAUGAUGAGAGGACAUAACAAGAGCUAGACUUUGGGUGGUUCUGGACAAUUACCCAGAAAGAGGUUGCAUUUUCUGAAAACCAUCACUGACCCCAACGAAUGAAGAAUUUGUUUCCUCAGCACAUUCCAUAGUUUUUGACAGAAUGAUGAAGCUGUGGGCUCCAACUGCCACACAUGAAAAAUCCUCUCCAGAAUAUGUUCCCUAAACUGUUAUAACCUCCUAAAAGUAGGAGGAGCUUCCUUUUUCAGGAUGAAGUCGUCACUAGCUAAAAGAGAACAAACAGAGAUGAACAAAAUCAGAAUCUUAAAAGAAUGAUACAGAAAAUUAGUAGGAAAAGAUGAAACAGCUCAAAGACAAAAAAGAAAUUCAAAAACCAUAAAGAUAAAUGGAUUUUUCUGAAUUACAUAUCAUCUGAUUUGGUUUAGGGGAAAAACAAGGUACACCAGUUCAAUUGAAGCCUAUUACUGGUGAGCACAUGAAUCAAAGAAUAGGCUCAGACUAAAGGAAAUGAUCAAUUUAAUGCUUCUAUAAGUGGCUAAAGCUGCAUUUGGUUGCGUGAAAUUGGGGCCUUGGAAUUAAAAUUGGAGGUUCCAAAUCCAAUUCCAUUAUUUGGUCGUUUGCUUCCCACUAACUCUGGAAUUGAACUUAAAUUCCAGACCCCCAAAUUCACAAACAUAACUAACAAAACCUAGAGUCUUGAAUUCCCAGAUUUAGAAUUUCAACUCAAAUCCACUUCAAUUCAAACAAAUGAAUCUCAGUAUCCAGCCAAAUACAAUAUGCAGCAAACGAGAUUCCUGAAUUCCUGGACCUAGAAUUACAAAUCAAAUCCAGUUCUAUUCAACUAAGUGGAUACUGAUAUUCAACCAAAUCCAAUUAUCUGUAGAGAACUAAAAUAUAAAACUAGUUUGCUAGAAAUUUCACAAGAAUAAAACGAUGCAGUUUCAAAUAUUUAGAAUUAAAUACAGUGGGAUUUGAGACCCAAAGCUUGUAGAAAUGGGAUUCAAUGGUAAAUUCAUGAGCACACUCUCUUACAAAUUUAAACUAACUUCCAUUUGGUUACUGAGAAAAGGCAGGAAAAAAAAAACAGAACAAAAUAAAAAUUUAAUUCUAUUUCAAAUUUUGUAAUCUUUUUCCCAAAUAUAUAUAUAUAUAUAUAAAUCAGCUAAUUAAGUGCAUGUUUGGAAUCUCUGGAUACAUUUCCUAUCUUUGUUUUUAAAAAUAGAAAGUCAGAUACAAAAUGUAUGAAUUCAUAUAAAAAUUAGGUACAUAGCUUGUAUAUGUAAAAACACUAUUUAAAAUUUUUUAAAUUGAAGUAAAAAAAUUUCAUUUUCAAAAAUUUUUAAAAUUUUGAAAAUAGGGUUUAAGAACAUAAAAUAAAUUUCUGCUUUUUUUAUAAGAAUUAUUAUAUUUGAUAAAAGAGUUUCUAUUUUUAAAAAUAAAAAAUUGGAAGUGUAUCCGAACAUCACCUAGAUAGUUGAAUAGGCCUAGGAAGUGUAUCCAAACAUCACCGAAAUAAUUGAAUAGCCUCAAAGUUAAUAAUUUAGGCCCCGGAAUACGAAAAUACAAAAUUUAAAAGACUAAUUUCUUUCCUUUUCCAAUUUCUCUGUCAGUGUUCAAACAGAAGCUGAUUUUGCAUUUGGUUAACCUGAAAUAUUAGAUUUUUAAGCAAUUUCCUCUCCUUUCCCCUCCUGUUCCUCAUCCUUUCUGAGUACCCACACAAGAACACCCCAACCAAGCAAUAUCAGCAUCCAGUUACUGGUUCACAGAAAUAUCACAUUUUUCUUAAUUAAGCAACAGUCAAAAUUUGAAGCAAUUUAAAGCACUUGUUGAGAUUGAAUGAUUAAAUUCUUGAUAAAUUGUUACCAAUUUAAAGCAACCAUUAAUCUCAGUCGCCAAGAAAAUCGAAGAAAAAGAACCUGUGAAAAUUUUAUUCUUCCAUGUUUUCUCCUUAGAAAAAAAAUAUAUCACUCAACUGAGACAAAGCAGUCAUAAAUGCUCAAAACUUUUGGUUUUUUCAGGUUGCAAACUAUCGAAAUAUAAAAUAAAAACCCUAAAUUCUUUCCUUUUCCCACAUUUUCUCAUUGAGCAAGCAUAGGAAAAUUUAAAAAAAUUUAGGUUGCAAAAAAUCCGAAACCUAAAAUUCAAGAACCCUAAUUUCUGUAAAUUCGACUACAAAAAGAUCAAAAGUUGAUCAUUUGGGGAAAGGUUACAUACCAGAAACACAUAAAUGAUGAAUAGCAUUCCAAAAUUCAUUAUCAAAUUCAUACCUAAUUAAAUCAAACAUGAAUAUCAAAGCCACAAAUUUCAAUCAAAUUAAACAUAAAAAUAAAAAAUAAAAUAAAAAUUACAAAAAAAAAAAAAAAAGAAUAAAUCCUUACCCAAGCUUGAAAUGAAAAAACUAACAGAAUCAAUUGAGAGAGAGAACCAAAGAAGAGGUCGACGGUGAACAAACAGAAUCAGUAGAAUUUGUAGACUUCAACAAGAAAAAGGAAAAUCCUUUGAGAUAGGGAAAUGAAACGGUCGGAUUCUUUCAAACGCUAGGGAGUUUAUACGUGUCGCCUUGAGUUUAAAUGUCGAGCAUCUUGGGUGUUUAUCAACGGCGUAUGCACGCCCACCUGGAUAUCGUUAACUGAAACUUGCCAUCUAUUUACACCUCUCUUCUAAAGUUGAACGUGUAGAGAGUAGACCACCACCGGCCUAUGCCUGUAGCCAGUGAAAGGGCAUUUGUAACUUUAUUUUAGUAAAUAUUUUAAUUUUUUUUUCUUCAAAGGUUUUAUGAACUUACUUGAAAUGGAUGACAUGUAAAUUUGUAAUUAAAUUAAUGAAACAAAAUUAAAAAUUAGGAAAAUUUUAAAUAAGGUGUAAUAUAAUAAAAAUAUUUUUAAAAAAUGUGAUUUAGAUAGCAUUCAGAUAUAUUUCCUACUUUUAUUUUUAAAAAUAUAAACUUCUAUAUAUAAAAUAUAAGAAAUCUUAUAAAAAAAACAAAAAUUUAUCACGUAUUCUUUAAAAGUCUUCUCAAAAUUUUAAAACUUUUAAAAGUAAAUUUUUUUAUUUCCUUCAAAUUUUAAAAAUAUUUUCAAAUAUAUAAAAUAUGUAAUUAUCAUACUUUCUAUUUCAAAAAACAAAAAAUAAAAAAUAAAAUAGAGAGAAUAAUUAGGUUUUUAAAAAAAUAAUGAUUAAAAUAUUCUUAUUUUAAUACUUUCAUAAAUUUUAAAAACUAUGUGACUAUCCUAUAUGUAAAUCUUUUUCAAUUAAACAUUAUUUUCCCUUUUUUUGGGUCCAAAUAUUUUGAAGUGAUUUUAAAAGCAAAUGUGAAAACUGUUUUCUUUUCUUUCUUUCUCUUUUUGUUUUUUUCGAACUUUUGGUAAAGGAGAGGUUGAGACAAAAGAAGAUGAAAACUAUACCAGGAAUAAAGAAUGUGUUUGGAUACUGUUGGACUAUUUUCUAAUCAAGAAACAAACUUUUAACAAAAAAUAUUUUUUUUUAGAAUUUAUUUUAAACAAGACUAUUUUUUAGAAUAAAUUCGAGAUGUUUACAAUUUUUUUUUUUUUUUUGUAGUGUUCUUAGCAAUAAUUAAAAAUAUAUAUAAAAAGACCUUUGCAAAAAUCUAUUUUUUAUAUUUAAAUUUUUAAAUAGAAUUUUAUUGAGAAUAUUGUUUUAAAAAAAAUCAAAAAAUGUUUUUAAGAACUAUUUUAAAAAUAUUGUUUCACAUACCCCAACAAUGUAUCCUCAUCUUGGAUAAAAAGGAAACUAAAAUGAGGAAAAUCUGAACAUUAAAUUACUAUUUAAUCUUAGACUUUUAUGCUAAUAAAUAAUAAGGAAUAAUUAAGAAUAAUAAGGUCUCUUUUGAAGUAACUACCUAUUUUUAUAAACUUUUAUACCAAAAGAUUUAUUGAGUAACUCCCCAAAUUUGACCAUUUACAAUUUAAAAAAAAUAAAAUUGAUACAAUAAAAUUUUAAUUAAAUAUUAAAAAAACAAUAUUUUUAAAAUUUUUAUAUUAAACCCUUUAUUUUAGCACUCUUAUUGAGUUCAAAAAAUAACUUUUCAUGUUGAAUAACAGAAAUCCAAAGUAUAAUAAGUUGGGCUUAAUGUCACAUAUGGUACACACAUUCUUUCCUAUACCAUUGAUUUUAUUUGGUAUGUUUGAUUAAUUUAAUAGCAUUCUAUUAAGUUUUAGAUAAUCACUUUUAUUAUCUUUGGUAUCCAUUGAUUUACAAAUCAAUUGUCCCUAGUCUAAAACUUAGAAGGAUGCUACCUUAUGGUACUUUCUCAAAUAAUAAUCUGACCCCAAACUCAAUUUUCAAAGACAUGCUUUUUUAAAAUAAGAAAUCAUUUUUUAAGAUUUUUUUUAUUAUUUUGUUUUCUUUUUUAAAAAAUAAAAUAAAAUAGAUAGUGACUCCAAUUUUUUUUAUAAAAUAUUUUUCAAUAUAAAACGAACCCCUCCAUCAAAUGGGUAUACACAUACAACACUUAAACAACUCAAGACACCUCAAGAGACAUUGCUGAGUCAACCUUUCCCCUCAUACUUAACUUGCUAAGCCAAGUAAAGCGCACGACAUGGAAGAUAGGAUGAAAACCUAAGAGAACGCUUAAAGAAAGAUAACUUUAUAUCGCACAAGACAACUUUACAAUGCCAAGAAACUCUACUUACUCGAUGCCUUGGCCAAAUGAGAUCACCUCCUAUUUAUAAGCAUCUAUGAAGCUCUCUCUGAAACGCAAAAAGGUUCCACACUACAUGGCUCCACACUCUUCCCUUGUAUUGCACUUUACUUUUAAGAAGCUCUCUCUGAAACGCACAAAGGUUCCACACUACAUGGCUCCACACUCUUCCCUUGUAUUGCACUUUACUUUUAAGAGAUGUGCAGACAUUUCUAAGCUUCUCUAAAAUCUCCCACUCAAUGUAGAUGACUCCAAGAGGUUUCAUAAGCUUCCUACUCUCAUGUAUAAGCUCAAGGGAGGUCAUUUGAGCAUGGUAUGACAUUAAGCCAUUGAAAAAAUCAGUGCUGAAGCGAUUUUUAAGAUGCACCGCAUUCUACAUAUUAGCUAAUUGCACAUCAAGAAAAAAUUAAGACAUGUUUGUCAAUCACAAACAUGGGGAAACCACCAACCGGAAAGUUUCAUGAACUUAAAUACUGAAAGCGGGCUGGAAUUAGAAAAUAAAAAAAUGGAAGAGACAAAAAGUGCAAUAAAGUUAAAUAAGUUAUAUUUAGAAUAUUGAAACAAACAUAUUAAUUAUUGUGUUUGAAAAACACCAACUAACUUAUAGCUGCAACAGAGGAGAUCUCAAAACUGCUUCUUGAUGAUUUGCUACUCACUCUUAUGCUGCUCCAACUUUCUGAGUUUUAUUUGGACGGCCGGUUGCAUAAUCGUUAUCUCUGGGGCGACCAAAUUUCCCGCCUCUAUUCUGUUUUCCUCCCCUGGGAAAUACAAGGAAGAAAAAAUUUCAGAUCAGAAGUGAAUAAUGCUGAGCAAAGUAAAACUAUAUGACACUGAAUUUUUGAGAACAUAAUUUGCAGAGGAGAAAUUCCAAUGAAUUAACAUUCUGAUGAUGCAAGGAUUCAACAACUAGUGUACUAAAAACCCACCUUCCUCGAUUGCCCUUAAAUCCUCUAUGUUUUUCUUGAUUACCACGGAGCAGGCUCCAAUACUCCCUUUCGGCCUCACCUAAUAGCACAAGACACAAAAUAAACAAUAAAACUCAAGAUUGCUGGUCAUAAGAAGUUAUCGAGGGGAAAAACAACACAGUUUGUAUUGCAUGGUUUUAAGUUCUUUAACAAGCCAACAUGCAUUGUUCAAUAUUGGCAUUAUCAAGCACCAAACUGAGAUAAAGAAUCCCCACUGUUUGAACAUCGACCAAAAAGUUUUUUGUAUCAUCUAAACCCAAUAAGGUUUCAAUCAGCAUUGUCCUCACUUGCUAAAUAUCAAGAAAACCUGCCUAUUAAAUUAAUGAAUAGAUAACAUAUGUCAAAACAUGAAUACAGAACUGACCAGAUGCACUCACACAAUGACACUAGUCUUCCCCUGGAAUGACAAGGCCUUCCCUGAUGGCACUAGAUGUGUUCUCUAAACGUUAUAUAAGUUACUAAUCAGACAGUCAAUGUUUUGUUACUCCCAGAACCAUAUACUCUUAAUCCAUUCUCAACUUAAGACACAUCCUUCAAAUUACAACAUGAACAUAAGGACAAAUGAUCCUCUUUUAUCCAAAUCCCUAUCUCAACAUAGUAUAGAAUUGCAUUGUAUAAAACCUCAAUCAGUUGCAUUCAUGAACCCUCUAUUCUGUGAUGAGUAUUUUCCAUAACCAAUGAAUAAGCAAAUCCUGCCACUAAGAAUGGAAAGUACCGAUCUUCUCUUUACCUUAGAAAAAUGAAAGGUGGAAAAUACUCACCAUGCAACAUAGGCAAGAGUUUGAACAAAAACUAGUGCAACAAAAAAUUAGGAAAAAAAGGGCUAGGGGCGGGGGAAAAGAGGUCGCUGCUUACCUGUUACGGGUUCUAAAUUAGCAAUGUAAUUCUUUACUGUUAGACCCCCUUCUUCAGAGAGCACUGCAGCAGCACGUACUUUCUGAGCUGCUUCAGGUUCAUCAUAUCGAAUGUAUCCUGAUUCUUCUCCUAUCUUGAAAUCAACAAACUGCAAAUAUGAAAUACACACAAAGUAGAAAUGUUGGAAAGAUUCCCUCAACCCAGUGUCAACUUACAGUACUCAAAAUUCAAACCAAACCUCAGUUUGGGAAAUGCUCAAACACACAAAUACACAUGCACACUAUCACAAUCAGUCACUGUUAACCUUAGGUCAUUACUAAGAAACCAUUCUUCCUUCCAAUCAGGCACUUUUGUUGAGAAAAGUGUCUACAGUUGAAAUAGAGAAGUUUAUUACCAGAAGGCCUAACAAAAGAUUUUUUUUUUUUCAAAAAAAACAAUGAAGAUGGCAAAAACAAGAUGCAGUAGGCAGGUGUGUUGAACAUUGUGAUGUCAUGCUAAAAAAUAAGAUUACUCAAAUAAACAUAAUGCACAAGUGACCACAGCAGAAAACUCAUUGAAAAAGGUAAAUCACAAGAACAAAGGCUUUUUAGGAGGAGAUAGCAAUACAAUUCAUUAUUGCAUGUCCAAACCACACAUAAUAUCCAGCAUACAAUAAGGAAAUAGAAGUGUUUGCCAAAGGUCCAGUCUAAUGGAAACAUAUAGGAAAGAAAACCAUGGUUGAACCAUGAGAAGGACUGAAAAAGAAAAUGAAAGAGAUAAAAACAUAUUCAUGGAUCAAAAAAAAAACAAUGCAGAUAUCCAACAUUAUAUUUAAUGAAAAUCAUCCAAAAUAAGCAACAAAGCCAUAAGAGUCUCAAACAAACAAACAAAAUAAAGAGCAAUUAUAACAUGGUACCUUAACGGUGCCAAAUUUUUGAAAGACACUCUUCAAAUCCUCACGCAUGACAACAUCCAUGUUGUCUUUAUAGGUAGCAGCAGUGGGUUUUUGUUCCCCUGUUGCUUUUUCUUCACCUUUCAAAUCACAACCUUCAGAAGAUUUCUGUCCAUCUUCGGUUUCCUUUCCUUCACUUUCCAAACUAGUUUUCUCCUCAACUUUUUCUUCACUUUCCUUCUCAAUAUCCUCCCCAGAGUUUUCUUCAUCAUUAUUAAUAUUCUCUGAAGCCUUGUCCUCAGUUUCUCCAGUGACAUUUUCUUUUGAAUCUAUAUCUGUAUUUGUUUUGCCAACAUCUGCAUUAUCAUUCACUGGCUCAUGAGUACCAUUGUGUUCUGUAGAACCCCCAGCUCUCUUUAAUGUAAAGGAAACGAUUAAGCCUUUGGGAUAGCUGAAUUCAUCAAGAGUAAAGAGAAUCACAUUAAUAAAAACUUGGAAGUUGGAAGAUGAAAAAACCACAGGAAGUUGUGUAGUGCUGGUAACUACUUACGUUGAUUCAGCAUUUGAAUUGUUUUUACGAUUUGAACCCAAGAGGGCACGAGAAUUCUCAAAUUCCUCAGUUUGUUGUGCUCUUUCAGCAUCAAAAUCUUUCCUGUUUUAGGAUACAUAUUAGAAGCCACAUAAAUAUAACAAAUAGCCUCAGAUGCACACAUUCACAAAAGUCGCCCAAUUUUGUAGCAACUAUAUAACAUAGGUAUAAAAGAUUAAAAAAGAAAGUCAAUAAAAUUUUAUAGAACACGCAACCUCAAACUUGAGUUCAAGACACUUUUGUGGGGGGGGCAAAAAAACUCAAACUUCCCAUCAAAUAAUAUAUUUCAUGAUCUAGACAAGAAAUGUGUUUGAAUUUCACUGUCCAAGUUGAAGGUAAAUGGCACUAGUUUUAUAUUUAAAUUAAAAAAUUAUGAAUAUUUCCUAGCAUGUAAUAUUAAAAACAGUAAUUAUUGAUACACGUACAUAAUUUUGAAUUAUAAAAUAACCAGAAAAAUCUCAUUAUUUUUGUUAUAAGCCUUUCAUUCACUCUAUUUAGAACUUCAUAGAUAAUAGAAAAAGAAAAAGAAAAAGGAUAAAUCAGAUAUACUAACUAAUUGGCCAUCCCCAUUCAAACCGUAUGCUUUCUUCAUCCAUAUUGCAUUGGAAUCACAUUUAUUUCAACCUGCAGCCACAAGUAAUACUUACUUUGGUUUUAGUUCCAAUUCAACACCAGCAUAAACCAAGCUUUGCUGCAAAACCUUCGCAGCAUCUUCCUCAGUUGAGUAUUCAAUUAGGGCCGUACCACAAAAUACCCUUUUCUCUGCAACAUGACGGGGCAGCCUAACACUAUUAACCUGAAAUAUGGAUAAAUUCACAGAGUACCAUAAAUAGAAUUUCAGAGAAAAUAAGUCAGUAUAAAAGUUGGCAAUAAUGUUCACACGAUCUUCACCUAUUCUCUUUUAUAUGGGAGAUAGAUUAGGCUGGGUUUUACAAUUACAUUUAUUCAUCCCGAUGGUUCAAAUGCAAGUUUGAAAACAAAAAAUUCCAACAGUCUUUUGGGGUGAGUCAUUAAAAUCCCAACUUUCUGAAACCAUGAAUACAAAUGCUCCAAAUAAUAAGAAUAUUUCAACACUUCUGCUCAGGUUCACACGCCAGUUAAAUACCUGAUUCACAUUGAGAAACUCAGGGGAAAGACUGUUCAGUUUGUUGAAUAGAAAAUGUUUGUCUUUUCCCCUUCAAAUAUUCAAGUGCACAUAAAGCAAAAAAGGGAUCUAGCCCUGUUCAUAGUCGUUCAUUUAAGGAUUGCAUUAGUGGAGAUUUUACAAUAGACAAUCAUUCAAGGAAGGCUACAAUUUUCAUCUCAAAUUAAUUUAUCCAUCAAAAAAAGUAACUCCAUACUGUCACCUAGCAAUACAAAAUCUCAAGGGAGAUCCCAAGCCAAUAAAAUAAACUAAUGGAUGCCGAAAUAUAGAUUCUAAAAGUAAGAAACAAAUAAUGCCCAGAAAAAUUAGUUUAUUAUUAAAAAAGAACAAUGCAUGCAGCAAAUACCUUGGCAAAUUGACCAAAGUAAGCCUCCACAUCUUCAAGCUUUGCAUCAUAUUCUAGGGGUGAUGCUGCAAUUGUCCUUAUGUCCACUUGCUCUACCACCUCUUCUGGCUUUAAAAGUUCAGUAGCCCUGCCAAUCUUUUUCCCUGAAACACCAAAAACAAACAUCAAAAUAAGUGUAAACAUAUCGAGCACCAACAUAACAGAAUAAGAAAUAGGGGUACAUUCUCUUUUACACCAUUGUUUAUGUUCCUUAUAAUACAUAGAUUUUAUCGAUGAGAACAUAGAAAAUUUUUUGGGGAAAUGAAAAGAACAAGCAUAAAAGCAACUAAGAGUGCUGAUAAAUCUUCAAAACUUCAAGGAAAAAUAUCCACUGGACAAGCAGAAAACUCGUCCAUUAAUUCUAUUUUGGAUUAAAAAAAGGAACCUAUGAGUGGAAAACAUAGAGCUCACCAUCUUCAGAAACCUUAAGGGUAGUAGAAUUUCUCAGAAUUUCAGCCACAGCCUUCAAGGUGUCUUCUGAAACAUCUUCGGGCUUAACGUCCCCCAAAUUAAGAUGACUUCUCAUCCGAGAAAAUGAACAAAUCAAAGCCAAACUAACCACUGUAUUCACAGUCAAGGACAAAAAGGACAAGAGAAACUAAACAUACCAGAAAUAUAAUCAAAUACACAGUUCAAAACCAAUAGAGAGCUUGGGUGUACAGGGAGAUGGAAAAGAUAGUUGAUUGAGUGUCCAGUAAAGCUCAGUUUGGCUUCUGAUAUUUUGCAGGAAACGAAAUUAAAAAAAAAAAAAGUAGAACCUUGAAAAACUAAAACCUCCGGUGAUUAGGAUCAAUCAAACCAUUACGCUAAACGGGGAUUUUUCAGAACAUCCUUCUCUCCCACUGCUAAACGCUUUACACAAAGAUAAUUAACUAAAUACCCAAAAAUCCAAAAGCAGAAUACAGUUUGGUUGAAAAGAAAAAGAAUUUCAAAUUGUUUAAUCAUAGAGUUUUCAUUAUAUAUACACACAAAAAAUGGAAACCUCCCUCCAAAUAAUCUUACCAAACCCAUUUUGGCUUAGGUUAGAUAAAGUUGAUAAACCUUUCAUGUUUUAUCAGAGGCAUCACAAAAAACAUAAAACAAUUUUCGUUCCCUUUUCAUCGGUUUUCUCAGCAACCAAACACAUAGUAAGUUAAAACGCAAUGCUCAUAUUGAAGGAAGGAUACAUCCAUCUUCACUCUCACUUAUGGUUUUCUUGAGAAAAUUGUCUCUUGGAAGAUUACUAUCACUAAAGUAGAACUCCACCUGUUACAGAAAAUUAAAAUUAAAAUUUACAACCAAAAAAAAAAUGCAAAGCAAAGAUUUUUAACACGAUUCGACACAACAUCAUCAAAAAAGCAAAAAACACAUCUGCCGUGAACCUGACGAAUGACUUUCUUCACUGUUUCUUCAUCAAAAGACGCCGUUCCCAUUGUAUCAGGACCACUGUACUGAAAUCGACUAGCUGCAGAUUCGGAAAGGAAGGCAGAGAUAACGAGGGUUGAGUCUAGGGUUUAAGGGUGGAUUUCUUUUCGCCCAUGUUUUUAUUCGUAGAAUAACCUAUUUUGACAUAAAUAUUUUUAAAUUUUUUAAAAUAAUUUUAAAAAAAAAUUAAAUUAUUUUACCAUAAAAUAAUAAGACAUUUUUAUCAGCUAAAUAAAUAAAUAGUUAAAUUUUCAAAUUUAAAUUUUUAAUAAUAUUUUUAAUCAAAUAACCUAAUUAAAAAACCAAAUUUAAAAAUUUAAUCAUUUAUCUUUUUUUUGCUUUUGACAACAAUAUCCUUACUUUUAUUUUAAAAAAAUAAUCCUUUUUUGCUAAAUUACAUGUAAGUACUUAAACGAUAUUUAUAUUAAAAACAAUAUUGUUUUUAAAUAAAAAUAAGGGAAUGAAUAGAUUCAUAGAUUAUUUUAUUCUUUUUAAUUAAUUAAUUUUUAAAAAAUUUCUUAAAAUAAAAAUUUAUAAGAAUUUUAAUAAAUCAUGCGAAUAUGAUUAUAAUUUAUAAUUAGACCAAAAAAAUGUAUAUUAUUGUAAUCUGAAACUCUUUCACACAUAAAGUCUAAAUACAUAAAUUCUUAAAAAAAAAAAUAGCAAAUGCAAAAAAAUAUUUUCAUAAGUAUAAAGCAAAAUUUUAUUAUAGAGAAGGAUUAUUUUUAAAAAUAAAUUUAUGGUAUUUUCAAUUAAUUUUUAUUUUUUAGAGUAUUGAGUAAUAGUUAAAAAUACGAAAAAUAGUUUAAAAAUGUUAUUUUAUGUAUGAGCGUCCAAUAAGAAAAAAUGUAAAAAAAUAUUUUUUAUAAUCAGUUUUUAAAUAUAUUUUUGUUUUUAAAUUAAUUAAAAAAAAUUUUAAAUUUUUUAAAAAAAUUAUUCUAAAAAAAUACUCCAUCUCCAUUAUUUGGAGCCAAGAAAUCGGAUUUCAACAUAUGGGUAUGUUUGUUUCCAUGGAAAAGAAAAACCAAACUUAAAUGCUUCCAUAGUAAAUAAUAAGUGUUCCAUUAUUUUGAAAGGAAUUUGUUGAAUUUCUUAGUUUUCUUUCUCUAAUCUCGUUGUUAGGUUGUUUUUUAUUGUAAUUAGUUCUUUUUUAUAUUAAGGACAUGUUUGGAGUAGUAUUUUAACCUUUUGAUUUAAAUAACAAAAAGGUAGAAGUAAUUAAUCAUUUAUGAUUAAUUAAAUAUUCUUGAUUAAUGUCAAAAAUAUAUUCUAUUUCAAUAUAAUUAAUUAAUUAAUUUAACUUAAUUUCCUCAUGAAAAAAAUGAAACUCUUUAACAGACCAUGCAUGGAUUGUUCAUUCUUCUAUAAAUAAAGUUUCCAUGAAGCAAACAAAUUGAAAAUUCGCAUGAUUUAAUGAUUUGGGCUAUUAUAUAAGUUCAAGCAAAAGAUUUUAAUUUGAAGAUACUUUUACAUGAAAAGAUUUUUAGUAUUAUGUUUUAAAUUAAAUAUUUUUUUAUGUUUUUAACUAAAUACUUUCUUUUAUACAAUUUUAUUUUUUAAAAAUAAUAUUCGGGAUAUUGGAGUAUAUUAAAAUACUAAUUUUUGCAUGUCUUAAAGGAAAAUAAUCUAAUUUAAUACUCUAUAAGCAAAUAUAACAAAACUAGAUUGGAAUUUAAGCAAUUUUUUAAUAUUAAACCAAAUUUUCUAAAAGACAAUUUUAAUUUUAAUAUGCCCCAUCUCAACCAAUGGAAUUUGAACAUGGUAAAUUCCCUCUAUUAUAUUUGAGUUUACUCACAUAUUUAUUGCAUAAUACUCAUUUGGUAAUUUGGUAAUUUUUAUUUUAGUUUUGUUACAAUUUUAAAUUGAAUCUUAAUUGAUUAAUCAUUUUCAUGUCAGUUUUGUUUUCGUUAUCAGUACAAUUUUAUGUCAAUUUUGUUUCAUUUUUUUGUUGCACUUAUAUUGAGACUCCUGAUAAUUUUUGUUAUCAUAAAACUUGAAGUUUCUUUUAUUGUACAACAAUACAAAUUUUAAUGAAUCAUAAUGGAAAAAGAAUUAUAAUUUGCAAUUCCAAAAAAAUAGUAUAUUAUUAUAAUAUUAAAAGUCUUUCACACUAUUAUAUGUAUUAAUGAAAUGAUGUUCUUUUGGUAUUACAUAAUUUACCCAUUAAUUAGAAAAGAAAUGGUACAUUACUAUAAUAUUAAAACUCUUUCACACCAUUAUAUAUUUUAAUGAUUUGCUUAUCAUAUAAUUUAGUCAUAGGAUUUGGAAUUUUGCUAGAAUGAAAACAACACAAAUUUUAAUAAAUCAUAAUGGAAAUACAAUUAUAAUUUAUAAUUCGAAAAAAAGGGUAUUACAUGAUAAUAUUAAAACUCUUUCAUACUAUUAUAUAUUUUAAUGAAAUAUUUUUGAUAAACUAUAUAACAUUUUUAUUUAAUAGAAAAGUUUUAAAUACUAUAACCCUGGCAUUCAUUCUUAUAUAAUUAUCUAAAAUAUUGUGUUUUUAUGAAAAAAAUCAAUCAUGAGAAAGAUCAUGGUAACAAAAGUUUUUAUUUAAAAAAAAAAUAUUCACUUCAAACAAAAAUUUUCACAUAAAAUUUUAAUAUAAUUUGUAAUAACUCGUUUCUUUUUAUUUCAAAAUGAUUCUCACGGUUUUAAAAUACAUUUAUAUGAUUGUUCAUACUUAUACUGCAUCUGAAACUUUUUUUUCUUAUUCAACGUGAAAUAUCAUAGAAUAAUAACUAAAAUCAUGAAGAAUGGUUUAGAAAAUUUUAUAUUAUAUAUGUGUAUAAUAAGAAUAAAAUGAGAAAUUUAUUUUUCAUAUAUAAUUUAUGAAUAAAAUUUUGUUUUCAAAAUCAUUAAAAGUUGUUUUUAAAACCAUUUUUUUUAGAGAAAAUUUUAAAAAUAUUUCAAACAUGACAUAAACACUCCUAAUUUUACUUGUCUCCCAUCUCCCUUGUUCAUCGAUGGACACUACAAUAUAACCACCGAUCAUGUGAAAGAUUUGGCGAUAUUGAGAUGAUGGAUUGGAUGAAUGGUAUAUGGCCAAUUGGCCAUUGUAAGUACACAGCAUGGGCCUGUUUGGAAGCCAGAAAAUUCAGGUUUUUGACAUGUGGGUAUGUUUGUUUUCAUGGAAAAGGAAAACCAGCUUGAAUGCUUCCACGGUAAACGUAAAGAAGCAGUGUUCCAUUAUUUUGAUGGGAAUUUGAUGAAUUCCUUCAUUUUCUUUCUCUAAUCUCAUUGUUAAGUAAUUUUCAAUUGUAAUUAAUUCUCCUUGGUAUUAAGGGCAUGUUUGGAAUAGCAUUUAAACUUUUCAUUUCAUAAUUAAAAAAAGCAGAAGUAAAUAAUUAGAAUUACUAUUUCAAAGAAAGCAAAGAGUCUAAAUUAUACAAAAGGAUGUGACCAAGUUUUGGGAGAGUUUUUUUAGGUAUUUAAAGUUAAAUAUAGAUUUUAAAAGUAUUUUAAUAUAAACCUCAACAUGGGUUAAAAGAAAGAACGACUAUUUUUUUACAAACACCAGAUGAGAAAAGUUCUGCACUCUUACAUUACUUUCCAAUAUGUUUUCCAAAACAUUAUUUUAGCGGUACAUCACAACAAUUACUACUAAUAUAUUAUUAGUUUUAUCAUGGGGGUUGAAAGGUGAACUUUGAAGUUAUUUCAUUAUUUUUUUGGAAAUAUGAUUAAAUAAUCACUUAAGGGUGUUUCACUACAAUUUUUAAGAAUAAUUUUUUGUUUUUCAUAAAAAAAAUAAAAAAUAAAGUAUUUUUAGAUAAUAUAUUUUAAUUAUUUUCACUUAUUUUUUUAGAGUUGUAAAAUAUAAUUAUACAAAUAUAUAUAAUAUUUUUAAAACAUAUUUAAAAAUAGUAAAAAUAUUUCAGACUCCCAAAUAGAUUUUUAUUUUAUAAAAUAUCAAAGAACAAUUUUUUAAAAUUGUUCUUAAAAACUAUUUUUCAAAAAUAGUUAUUAAGCAAACUUUACUCUUUUUUUGUUUCGUCAUUUCUUUUCUUUUCUUUUUCUUUUCGAAAAAAUAUUUUCAUAUAUUAUACUUAAAAGUUUUGUUUGAUGUUUAGAAAUGUGUGAAAUUGUUUAACCACGUUUGGUAAACUUCUUACAUAACAUAUUUUCCAAAAAAAAAUAUUGUAAAACUAUGUUGUUUUUUAAAAUGUUUUAAUUGUUUUUUUUUAAGUAAAAAUAGAUAAUAUUUUGACAACUUUUGCAUUAUAAACAUGUAUAUUAUAUGAAAAUUAAGUUUAAAAAAUGUUUUUUCAUAUUUUAGUUCCUUAGUAAAAUUUUGUUCCCAAAAAUAAUUGAAAAUUAUUUUUAAAAACCAUAAACAUCUCCUUAAUUUCUGUAAAUAAAUCAUUCAAAUAAUUGCAAAAUAUUCUAAAAACUCAACCUCAAAAGAUGGUAGGAAAACAUCUAAGUAUAAUUAUUUUAAUUUUUGUGAUAGAAAAACUGGAACUCUUGAACAAACCAUUCAUGUGUUGUUUGUUCAUUCUCUUAGAAAUAAAGUUAGUGUGAAGUUUUGGUAGGCAAAGAAAUUGAGACCUCCAAUGAUUUAAUGAUUUUGGCGUUUAUAUAAGUUCAUGCAAAAGAUUUUAAAUAUUUUAUUUUACAUAUUUUAAAAUUUAAUAUAAUUGAGGUAUUGGAGUAUAUUAAAAUAUUAAUUAUAGAGUAAAUUAUUGUUCUAUUGAAAUGGAAAAUAAUAUAAUUUAAUACACUCCUUGGACAAAUACAACAAGAUUGAGUUGGAAUUUGGGUCGUUUUUUGGAUAGCAAAGCAACAUUUUUAGAAGGUUAUUUUAAUGUGGUUAAUUUCGUUAUUUCCCAAUUUAUACAAUCAAUUUCAAUUUCAAUUUCAUUAUGAUCCCAUAUUGUUAAUUGGUCGCAAUUUAUUCCAUUGGUAUUAGUUUGGAAAUGCUUCAAAGGACAACAAACUUCUAAUUUUUUUUUUCAUAAACCUUUGAAUUUUUAUAUUUGCUAUCUCCUUUUAUCAAACUGUUAGUUUUCUCUUUUACCAAAGAAAAUAGUGAUUUGAGAAAAAUAUGUUAUUGUGUGUAAAUUUGGAACCAUUUUAUAUAAUCCCAAAAUAUUUAGGUUAUUAGGUUAUGUUUGGUUCUCAUAAGUAUUGAAGAAAAAAAAAUAAAAAUAAUUUUAUCAUGAUUGAUUAUUUUAUAAAAAAUAGUAAAAAAAAAUCAAUUAUAAUUAAAAUUAAUUAUAAAUCUAUGUUUUUUAAAAUUAUUUAAUAUUUAUAUUUAAGAGUUAAAAUAAGUAAAAUAAUACUAAAUAAUUUAUUAAUUUCAAAUUUAUUUUUUAUUUUUCCUUCACUAUUUUUUCUUUUGCUUUUACUUUUCCUCUCACAAUUUUUUUUUAUGAGAACCAAACAUUGCCAUAAGAUGGAUUUCACUCACCUCCACUCAAGUUUUGGCCAAAUACAUAGUAUCCAAUUAGUUUGAAAUUUUAUCAAAUUCCUCCUCUUCUCACAUUUUCAUUUAUUAUUUUCAUUCAAAUAGGUUCUCAUUUGUCAUUCACUCACAUUUCCUCUCAUCUCUUUCAAAAUAAAAAAGGUCCAAAUCUUCAUCUUCCUUCUUACUUUAUAUAUAUAAAGGGGCCAUAGUUGAGAAACCCAACUCAAACUUUUUCAGAACGCUCUUUUAAUCUUUUCACACUCUUCAACCCAAUUUUAAGAAACUCAACUUGAAUUAUCCGCGAGAAGUCUUCACCUUUCCAAACUUGUAAGUGGCUUUUACAUCAAGCUGUGGGGAGGCAUCAACAGUGGCCAAGAAUAGGAGGCCAUUUGUGGAUAUUAAAUAUUUUAUGCAAAUGAUAUAAAUAAACAUUAAUGAGAUAAAUAAUAAUUGAAUACUCAUUUAACUCCUAAAGUGCAUUAAACUAAUUAUUUUUAGUGAUUCCUAUUUUCCUUAUGUUUUCAAAAAUCCCCACCAAAAAACACUUUCCCAGCUAUUCUUAACCUUCAUAUCAAAAUUCUGAGUUAUGGCCAUUAUCAUUUUCCCUACAUCUUUUAUUUGAGAACAAAACAACACAACCAAAAAAUUCAAAAAACAUCUAUUACAUUUUCUAAAUUGGAAUAUAUUAUUUGAAAGCAAAAGCAAUAUCAAUAUAUUUGUUCUCUGCAAAUAGAAAAACCAGAAUUCUUAAAUAAAAAAAAAAAAAAACUGUUCUCAAGUAGCAGAAACAGACAUGCACACUGUAUAUCAUUCUCACAGCAAAAAAACUUCGUAAAAUAAACAUAUUUAAUCAAAUUGAUAAUGGCACUUUGAAAUUACAUACACCAGAUCAAACUCAAUAGGAACUGCCUCACUAAAAAGAAAAAGAAUCAAACAAAUUGAAAAGCUAAAACCAAUCACCAAACCAAAAUAACAAACACAUUUUGUUUUAUAGAUCAGAAUACAAAAAGUAUUAAUAGACCAUCAAUGAAAAUUUAGAUUUAUUAUCUUACAGUACAUAUAGUUACUAGUUGCAAAUCCCUUUUUCUUUUUUAUCUUUUCUCAUUUGAUAUUAAUAACUAGUUUUAGGACUGAGGCGAUUCAUUUGAAGGGGAGCAAUUAAGAAUCAUAAAGAGAAGAAAUUCCAAAUUUCCAACUUUGGUUUGGGCAGCAAAGUUUUUGCAACCAAUGGAACAACACCAUACCAUGCGUUUACAUGAAGUCGUCUUCCAGUUCUUGCAACGACUUGUUUGCUGAUGCAAUCUGUUUGUUAGAAGUCAUCUUUUCAGAGACCAUCAAACCCUUGUAGCUCCUUAUCUCUGCUUGUCUCUCUUUUUCAAGCCUUUCCAUUUCUUCCCUACGUUUCUGCAUCAAUUAAUUAAGCACAUUUAAAUCAGAAUGAAGGAA
rnacentral:lncRNA from 1 species